rnacentral:rRNA from 1 species
UACGGAGGGGGCUAGCGUUGUUCGGAAUUACUGGGCGUAAAGCGCGCGUAGGCGGCUUUGUAAGUUAGAGGUGAAAGCCCGGAGCUCAACUCCGGAACUGCCUUUAAGACUGCAUCGCUAGAACGUCGGAGAGGUAAGUGGAAUUCCAAGUGUAGAGGUGAAAUUCGUAGAUAUUGGGAAGAACACCGAUGGCGAAGGCAGCCAUCUGGACCGACACUGACGCUGAGGCGCGAAAGCGUGGGGAGCAAACAGG